rnacentral:rRNA from 1 species
UACGUAGGGACCAAGCGUUGUUCGGAUUUACUGGGCGUAAAGGGCGCGUAGGCGGCCUGAUAAGUAGGGGGUGAAAUCCUGCGGCUUAACCGCAGGGCUGCCUUCUAAACUGUCAGGCUUGAGCACAGUAGAGGCAGGUGGAAUUCCCGGUGUAGCGGUGGAAUGCGUAGAGAUCGGGAAGAACAUCAGUGGCGAAGGCGGCCUGCUGGGCUGUUGCUGACGCUGAGGCGCGACAGCGUGGGGAGCAAACGGG